GACCAACUAAGUUAGUUCUUGGUAUGAGCUUUCGUGUGCAAGCACACUUCUUCCCACCACCCUUCUGAGUAAUACCCCUCCCCACCUUCUCACUAUAUAGAAGGAUCUGGCAACUUCUGUUUCAGUGUAUCUGAAGAAGUGUGCUUGCACACGAAAGCUCAUACCAAGAACUAACUUAGUUGG